CGGUGAUUGAGAAAGGAAAGAAUGGAAGUUGUAGACGAUAGGUAGUGUUCAGCAAGGUCAUCUUCACUGACAGGAGCAAAAGGUGGUACUGUGGUGGUCAAAUUGCAAACCAUGUUCCUGAAGGCAGUUGUAUAUGUGGAUAAAGCAAUAAUCAGAAGCAGUAAAUCUUCAAGCCAUCACUUUUAUUGUCUCCAAUAUGUGUGACUUAAACAGCAGACAGGCAAGUCACGGGAUUCAGCUUAUCUUAACCUAAUUAUUCUCUAUCAGGUAUUUACUGACCACCUGCCAUGUGCGAAAUGCUCUUCCAUGAGUGAGAAUCCAUGGUGAUUGUGACAUGUGGUGCAUCUUUAAUCUGCGGUCCCAAAAGCCUCUAAAGAGGGCGUUGGGCUGAAACCCAAGUGAUGAACCAGUCCUUCCAAGAACCUUUGAAGAAAUUGAGGCACAGAGAAAUGUAUGGACCUACUAGAGCUCCCAGGAGGAAAACUGGGAGCUCAGCCGACAAAAGGACAAACACGAGAGAAAUGAGGUGGGAGAGGACAGAGGAAGUGACUCCUGGUUGCUGUGACUAUCGCUGGGCACCUGUAGUUACCAGCUCCUGGCUCUCCAGCUCAUGGACACAUCUACCCUCCUCCAGACUCCUCUUCCAGCCGGGAUAACCACACAAUAACCAACACACAACAAGCAUGUACUAUGUCCCAGGUACUGUUAUUAAUUUCAUUGAAUUCUUACAAUCAUCCUAUGAAGGAGGUCUUAU
rnacentral:lncRNA from 1 species